AUGGACUGCACCUGGAGGAUCCUCUUCUUGGUGGCAGCAGCUACAGGCACCCACGCCCAGGUCCAGCUGGUACAGUCUGGGGCUGAGGUGAAGAAGCCUGGGGCCUCAGUGAAGGUCUCCUGCAAGGUUUCCGGAUACACCCUCACUGAAUUAUCCAUGCACUGGGUGCGACAGGCUCCUGGAAAAGGGCUUGAGUGGAUGGGAGGUUUUGAUCCUGAAGAUGGUGAAACAAUCUACGCACAGAAGUUCCAGGGCAGAGUCACCAUGACCGAGGACACAUCUACAGACACAGCCUACAUGGAGCUGAGCAGCCUGAGAUCUGAGGACACGGCCGUGUAUUACUGUGCAACAGA